rnacentral:tRNA from 1 species
GGGCGAGUGGCGGAACUGGCAGACGCGCACGACUUAAGAUCGUGUACCGCAAGGUGUGUGGGUUCGAUUCCCACCUCGCCCA